rnacentral:rRNA from 1 species
UACGUAGGGUGCAAGCGUUGUCCGGAAUUAUUGGGCGUAAAGAGCUCGUAGGCGGUUUGUCGCGUCGAAUGUGAAAACCCGGGGCUCAACCCCGGGCCUGCAUUCGAUACGGGCAGACUGGAGUUCGGUAGGGGAGUCUGGAAUUCCUGGUGUAGCGGUGAAAUGCGCAGAUAUCAGGAAGAACACCCGUGGCUAAGGCGGCUCUCUAGUACGGUACUGACGCUGAGACGCGAAAGCGUGGGGAGCAAACAGG